UGAAGAGGAAAGGAAAGAACACAAACCCUAGGUGGGAAAACUGAAGAAAAAGUGUGGGAUUUCAAGGGAUUAAGCUGAUAAAGGUAAAAAUUUUGUGAUUUUAUCUUGUGAUUUACACUAACCAUGCUUUCUUUUUCAUUUUUCAUGCUUAGAACUCAAGUUUGCAUAAUGAACCCAUGCUGGCCAAAUUUGAGAUGAGAAGUUUUUAGCAUUGAUUUUGCUAGAUUUCAAGCUAAUUAAGUGUUUUUGGCUGUUUGGUAAUGGAAAGUAUAAAAAUCUAGCAAUGAAUCACUUUGUUCUUCACAAACCCACAAGAGGCCGAAUUUUCUAGGGAGGAUAUUGAGGCUGAAAUUAAUGAUAUUUCAUGAUAAAUUGGGGGUAUUUAAUGAUUGGUGAGGCUAGAAAUUUAAUGAAAAAUUUUAGCAUGAAAAUCUAAAUUUUUACCUAAUGUAUAGACAUGUGCGAUUUAUGGUUCGGACCGAUAAAUUGAAUCAUAUUCACAGUCAUUGAGGUAUUUUAAGUAUAAUUGGAGUGUAAAAAGUGAAAGAAAUCAAUUUGGAGUUAAAUUGAAGGUUUUAGCCAAUUACACCGAAAAUAGUACGAAUUAGGUCGAAUACCGUAUUUAAACGGCUAUUCAGACAUUUUGCAUCACAUUUCAUGCAUUCAUAUAGAUUUAUAGAGCCUGAAAUAGUUUACGAUAAAUUGACACAAUUUAUUAAAAUUCGUGUCACGGAUGAUGUAUAGGUGGUAAGCCCUCUAACAAGGGUAAAGAGAUUGUGCCCCGAAGACUGGGAAUAGGAGUAUAUCGAACUCCUAGUACAGUGAGUAACCUUACUAUCGUCUUAAUUAUCUAAAGUGAUUUUUAUCCAAUUUUGUGAUUUUAUGAAAAAUGAGUUAAAUGGUAAAUCCUUAUGUUUUGUAAUUAAAAUGUGAUUUAAUAAAAUGAUUUUGUAAAUUGUCUUGAAAUGAAAUGAUGGUUUGGAAAAUAGAGUAAUUGAAGACUGUUUUCAUAUGUUGUAAAUUCAUGGUUUAAAUUGAAUGACUUAUGACAAUAUUGGCAUGAAUGGCUAAAUUGGUAUUUGUGUUGAAAUGUAUAAAUUAUUGUUUGCCUUGAGAGGCUGUAAAAUAAAAUAAUUGUCAUGUUAUUGCAAAAUUUUAUUAUAUGGUGGGUUUAGCUAGCUGCAGUGGGCUGGUUCUAUGGACUAGCCUAUUAGAGGGGCACGAAACCUGGUCAUAUUCAUACCUCAAUAUGAGAGGCGCGGAUGGAUAACUCCUGAGGUUAACACUUUAAAGUUCGCUUCACGCCAAACCACCACGUGAGGGUGAACUCGACCAACGCCAAGGAACGGCUAUGUUUUCAAAAUAGAAACAUGAUUUUAUGCGUACAUAACUUUUUAACAGCCUUGGCGGACUCGAUUGGGAUAGCCCUCGGCUAAGGUAUCCCUGAUAACUAAGUAUGAGAAAGAUUUUUGGCACAAGCCAAGCUUUUCAGGAAAUCAUAAGCCUAGUUGUUUAUUUGGUUGAAAUGAGUUGAAAGGUAAUGAAAUUAUAGUAUGAUGACUUAUUUUAAUUGUCUCCAUUUACUCAACUUUAGAUGGUUUAGAUGGUAUCUGUUUACUCACUGGAAUUUUAUAAUCUCACCACCCUCCUUUUCAACCAUUUCAGGCCUGAGGUAGCCUGUGGAUAGUAGAUAUCGUCAAGGAUUAUAGUCGGCUUUACUACUCCAAAAACUGUAGGUUUACUGUCUUUGUGCACUUUUGUUGCUUGUGGGCCCACGAGUCACUAUAAAGUAAAUUUUAUAUCCCGGUUAUCUGUAUUAUAGUAUGAAUGAAUUUAUUUAGCUUUUACAUUACAAAAAUUAUUUACCAAUGACUCUAUAAAUAUUGUUUUACAAGAAGUUAGAAUUUUUUAUUGAAUAUUUUUAUUUUAUUCAAAUAGUUGCAAUAUCAUUUUUAAUAAAUGUUUUAGACACCCAAAUUUAUUCUAAAUCAUGAAAUAUGUGUUUUCCACUCAUCUACUAUAUUUUUAGUCGAGUUCGAAAAAUCUCGAGGAAAAAUGAUGAAAACGCCCCUAUGAGGCGAAAAUUAUUUUUCCACGAUUUUGAAAGGGAAAAAGCUUAAAAUUCUUUAAAAACCAGGUUUGGCGAUGAUUACUCACAAGGGAGAUGAGAAAAAUGGUACUAAAGCCUUGUGGGAUUCUGGUUGACACUCCGAGUAACGAAUGUCUACCGAGACGUCGCGGCGGUUGUCACUGGCUCGAGGGGAGUACCGAGUCGUGACAUAGUAAGUCACCCUAGUCCUCACCCAUUAUAGGCUUCAAAUGAACCAGGUUCAAUUUGAGUGGGAGUGUUCACUAGUCCAUACUAAGGUUAUCACCUCACGAGAGCGUAGCUAUUAAACUCCUUCCUAAUAAAGGACAAAGCCCGAGUAGAAGGCUUAUGCAUGAAUACAACAUGUGUCAUGUGUGUGAAGGAACGUACCAACCUUUGACGGACAAUCUCACAUCCCUCUAUCCUAAAUUCUGUAUAAUUUAAAAAAGUAAUAAAAUAAUGAUCAUAAAACAAUUAAUACGCAAAACCAAAAUGCAUAAAACAUAUGCUCAAAUUUAAAGGAAACACUACAUUAUUUAGGGCUUCAAGAUAACCUAUGAUUAAUUAUGGCUAGACUCUCUUUUGUCCCCAACGAAGUCACCAUCUGUCAUAACGUGCAGGUCCAGGAACCCGACCGCUAGAUGUGGGGUAAUUUGAGGAAUCGCCAUUAAUCUUUUUUUUACUUAGGUGUGAUUGGUCACUUAUUAACUUGGUUCUAAUCGACGAAAUUCUAAAUUAAUUUUAAGUCCGUCGAAAGAACGAGAACUGAUCUACGAUUUUUUUUAGAUGGGUUCGGGAGUGCGGCUACGCACGGAGAAGAGUUAGCACCUCCUUAACGCUCGUUCCACAAACGAUACCAUUUAAUCUUAAGUUAUCCUAUUGUAGCCUACCGUUGGUUUUAUUCCUAUAUUUCCUUAAUCUUUACUUAUUAAUUAAUUCUUUGUUAUAUUAGCUGAUUGAGUCUUUUAUUCGAUUUCAUGGAUGCACAUCAUACAGUCGUAAAAUGAUGUUAUGAUUUGUUCAAUUUUAAAUGAGGAGAUUGGCAAUCUUUUAUCAAAAAAUUAUUUGUAGACCAUCCCAACGCUUUAGUGAAGUCUAGAAGUUUUUCUCACCUAGGGAUAUCCCAAGAAAGACUCGUCUCUACGAGCUCUUUGAGGAAAUCCCAUCAUCAGAAUUCUCACCCCAUUAACAAAACAAACGUGGCAUGCUAUGACAGGAUAAAAUGAUGAUAUCUACAUGAACAUGUUUAUUA
rnacentral:lncRNA from 1 species